GUAGGGUGCAAGCGUUAAUCGGAAUUACUGGGCGUAAAGCGUGCGCAGGCGGGGUUUGUAAGUCUGUCGUGAAAGCCCCGGGGCGUUAACCUGGGAAUUGCGAUGGAGACUGCAAGGCUUGAAUCUGGCAGAGGGGGGGUAGAAUUCCACGUGUAGCAGUGAAAUGCGUAGAGAUGUGGAGGAACACCGAUGGCGAAGGCAGCCCCCUGGGUCAAGAUUGACGCUCAUGCACGAAAGCGUGGGGAGCAAACAGGAUUAGAUACCCUGGUAGUCCACGCCCUAAACGAUGUCUACUAGUUGUCGGGUCUUAAUUGACUUGGUAACGCAGCUAACGCGUGAAGUAGACCGCCUGGGGAGUACGGUCGCAAGAUUA
rnacentral:rRNA from 1 species